rnacentral:lncRNA from 10 species
CUGGCAUCCCAGACCACAGCCCCUGUUGAAAAUUCUGCUGACAUAGCCAGGUGACGGUGACAACGUAUUCUGGCUGUGGCCUGUCACUGUGAAAUAAAAGGGCUCAGGGGCUCUCCAGCACCCACCAUGGGGGGUCCUCCCAGAGCCCUUGGCUCUCUUGGGCCAGUGGCCCCUCUUCUGUGGCAGCCUCCCUCUAGUUGCCCCUAUGAGAGGACCUCUUUUCCUGGCUGGACCCCUGCCUGCUCCCUCCAGUUCACCAGCCCCUAAUCAGGGUGCAAUGCCUCUCAAGGUCCUGGCCUUUUCUCCACUGUUGGGCCCUGCUCUUCCCAGCAUUGGACGGAACAUUGAUGGAUUACUCCCCUGACCCUACGGCCUUUCCCUCGCACUCUCUUUCUCUCUCCUGCUUCCACCUGCUCUGGCCCCAUGCAUCCUGCACCUGUCCUCAGGGCUGCCUCCUCCAACACCUCCUCCCUGCUUCUCUUGUCAAAGGACCUUCUGGCUUGGUCUGAACUGUCAGGUUCAAUUUCUCGAGCUAAACCUUUGAAUCUGGCUGACCCACUCUUGAAUGGUCUUUGUUCCCCAGCUAAGAACCAGCUGAUCUCAGCCCCGGCCAAAAUUUGCCUCAGGGGACUUGCCUGCCUCUAAAUCAUAGCUUCUCUACUCAGUCCCAGACCUCUCCUCCAACUCCAUCUCUCCUCCCUCCUUCUAACCCACAUUUAUGAGGUACCUGCUCUGUGAGUGCUGGGCGGAUACAGACAUGGUGGAACUGGGCCCUGCUCUCCAAAUGCUGACAGCCUCCCAGUAAGAUACUCGUGCAGAACAAGGCAGCAUAGAAUAUAUUCUCUCUCUCUCUUUUUCUUUGUUUUGCCAGAGGUAAAGGAAAGUUCUGUGAGAGAAGGGAAGGAGGGGUGAAGACCAGUUCUGUGUUCUCCAGCUUCCAGUCACAUCUCAUUGGCACUAGAGAUAUGGAGAUGGAAGAAGAGAGAGUCAGUGUCCUCAGGGUCGAGGUGAAGAAGACAGAUGAUGUGCCAGUGUGAUGUGAUCAAGGCCAGCCAAAAUGACAACAUGGGAUGAAGGUAUGAUGAUGGCCCCCAAGGAACCUGCCCAGGCUGCUGUGGGAGCACCACAUCUUAGAAGCAGACUCAAGUCCAUCUGGGUAAUUCAGGAGCUCCCACUGUGUGCAUGGUACAGGGGUGACUUCUUGUCCAGAGCAUGCUAAGAACUAAUGUCGAUCUGUGCCAGGCCUUGGGCUGCAGGCUUUGAGUAGCUUCCUGUGUUGAAUUCUCCUAAGAACCUUAUUGUGAUCAGCCCCACCUUAGAGCUGAGGAAAUGGGCUCUUGGAAGUUGGGGACCCCGAUUCUCCAUUCACUGGACUAUUUCACAAUCAAGAAGAUCGGGGACCCAAGAGCAAAUUCCUCUGAGGAACAGGAAUCCUGGUCCUCUGGAAAUAGUACCUUAGAC